AAAUGAAUAGACGGGGGCCCGCACAAGCGGAGGAGCAUGUGGUUUAAUUCGAUGGUACGCGAGGAACCUUACCUGGGUUAGAACGUAUGAUAAAUGUAGCUGAAAGGUUACAGUCCUGCAAGGGAUAUCAUACGAGGUGCUGCAUGGUUGUCGUCAGCUCGUGCCGUGAGGUGUUUGGUUAAGUCCAGCAACGAGCGCAACCCCUACCUUUAGUUGCCAGCAGGUAAAGCUGGGGACACUAGAGGGACUGCCUGCGCAAGCAGAGAGGAAGGUGGGGAUGACGUCAAAUCAGCACGGCCCUUAUGUCCAGGGCUACACACGUGCUACAAUGGUAACUACAGAGGGCAGCGACUAGGCGACUAGGAGCAAAUCUCGAAAAGUUAUCUCAGUUCGGAUUGGAGUCUGCAACUCGACUCCAUGAAGGUGGAUUCGCUAGUAAUCGCGCAUCAGCAAUGGCGCGGUGAAUACGUUCCCGGGCCUUGUACACACCGCCCGU
rnacentral:rRNA from 1 species